rnacentral:rRNA from 1 species
CUUUUAUGGAGAGUUUGAUCCUGGCUCAGGACGAACGCUGGCGGCGUGCUUAACACAUGCAAGUCGAACGGGGUUUAACGAGAAGCUUACUUUUUGUUAAACCUAGUGGCGGACGGGUGAGUAACGCGUGGAUAACCUGCCCAAUAGCCUGGGAUAACG